GCCUAUAGCUCAGUUGGUUAGAGCACCUGACUCAUAAUCAGGUGGUCCCAGGUUCGAGUCCUGGUGGGC
rnacentral:tRNA from 1 species